CAGCAGCCGCGGUAAUACGAAGGGGGCUAGCGUUGCUCGGAAUGACUGGGCGUAAAGGGUGCGUAGGCGGCGAUCAAAGUCAGGCGUGAAAUUCCUGGGCUCAACCUGGGGGCUGCGCUUGAUACUUGGUUGCUUGAGUGGGGAAGAGGGUCGUGGAAUUCCCAGUGUAGAGGUGAAAUUCGUAGAUAUUGGGAAGAACACCGGUGGCGAAGGCGGCGACCUGGUCCUUGACUGACGCUGAGGCGCGAAAGCGUGGGGAGCAAACAGGAUUAGAUACCCCUGUAGUCCCUGUCUCUUAUAC
rnacentral:rRNA from 1 species